CCCAAAAAAGUAAGUCUCAGUUCGGAUUGAAGGCUGAAAUUCGCCUUCAUGAAGCCGGAAUUGCUAGUAAUGGCAGGUCAGCAUACUGCCGUGAAUACGUUCCCGGGCCUUGUACACACCGCCCGUCACACCAUGAGAGUUGGGGAUACCCGAAGCCUGUGAGCUAACUUAACGGAGGCAGCAGUCGAAGGUAGAAUCAAUGAUUGGGGUGAAGUCGUAACAAGGUAAC
rnacentral:rRNA from 1 species